AGCCGUAUAGCUUAAUGGUAAAGCGUUCAUUCUACCCCCUACCCAAGUGAAAGAUUGAGGUUCGAAUCCUUAUACGGCAA
rnacentral:tRNA from 1 species